GAUAAACGCUGGCGGCGCACAUAAGACAUGCAAAGUCGAACGGACUUAACCAUUAGUUUACUAUUGGAGCGGUUAGUGGCGGACUGGUGAGUAACACGUAAGCAACCUGCCUAUCAGAGGGGAACAACAGUUAGAAAUGACUGCUAAUACCGCAUAUGCCUUGAGUAUCGCAUGGUACAAGAGGGAAAGGAGCAAUCCGCUGAUAGAUGGGCUUGCGUCUGAUUAGAUAGUUGGUGAGGUAACGGCCUACCAAGGCAACGGAUACAGUAGCCGGCCUGAGAGGGUGAACGGCCACAUUGGAACUGAGACACGGUCCAAACUCCUACGGGAGGCAGCAGUGGGGAAUAUUGCAC
rnacentral:rRNA from 1 species